UAAUUAAACACCGAUACUGCCACUUAUGUUAAAUAUCUGUUACUGCAGACUAUCGUGGCCUGUCGCAAAAUAGCUCAGUACCUAAUGUUUAUAGUAAAUUAUAUUUGAGUAUUCUAUAUAUAAAAUCUCAACCGGACAAUCAUUCUGCAAACUGCAUUUGCCGCGCAGUCUUUGCAAAGCAUUGACUUACUUGCAAUUAAAAUGGCUGGAUACGUUUUGCCCUUGAACUUCACUUGAGUUUUGGAUCCUAUUGUAGCCCCCGUCUCUAUUGCUGAAUUCUGUACCAAUGACCAGACACUUUUUUCUGGCCAGAAAACAAGAUUUGUCUCCGAUGCUGACAUGUUUUUUCGAACGUCUUCCCGCAAAUUAAACUCAAUGCGCACGCGUCAGAAACCAUGUGGUUUCUCAAUCGCAACUUUUCGGCCCUUUCCGUCAGUCUUAUAGAUAAUGUUCCGAUUGGUGCUUUCUUCCCGGACUACGGCGGAAAAACAUGAAUAUUUUUGGGUAGGUAUAGCCGACGUCGAAUCAGCCAGGUAAACAGGUGAGUAACUUGUAUAGCCGACGUCGAAUCAGCCAGAUAAACAGGUGAGUAACUUGUAUUUCUUAAAAAAUACAUUGAUGUUAUCAAUCUUUGGUCUAUUUUGUAAAAAAAAAAAAAAAAAAAAAAAGAUAUCGUUACGUUAUCUCGGACAUGAUAUUACUCACGUAGCUGUGCAAUGUUAUCCGUAUAGAAACAAAACUGGAAGCACACAAGUUUCAUUUUGUUGUUCAAUAAGUAAUUUAGCACUCGCAGACACUGGUAAAAGUGAUAUUUAUUUGAAUUUAAUUUAAUGUGAUUCAACAUCUCGAAAUAUAAAAAGAUUGAAAAAAGAAUACAAGAUCUCAAGUCACAGAAAACUAGUACGUUUAGUAAUUUCGGCCCAAAAACGUUUUGGCCCCAAAUUACCCAAGACGUUUCGUCGCUUUACCAAAACUGUCAUUUUUGUUCAUAAAGUCUUACCUUUAUGUAUUUUAAAAACAUUACAUUAAAUUAAUAAGUAAAUAAAUGAAUGGCAAACGUAUAAUAGUGCCUCAUACUGUCAUACAGAGCUCUCGUUUGACAUGGGACACGUGAAAAUCCGGAAAAUUUAUGAACACAUUUGACAGGUGAUAACAUAUGCACUAGAGUCAGUUUGCCACAUGGGAUUUUCAGCUAUGCAAUAAUAAUUACCUUAAAUCCACCCCUAAUUACCUAUCAAAUCCUACAUUUGUUCAAAUCACACUCAAUAAAAAUGUCACUGUGUAUUCCACACAACAUUGUUUAUAGCAUGUGCACUGAAUCGUGACAUCAGUGGAUGUAAUUUGACAGCGCUAAAAUAGCUCUACACAACUGAUAAUAAUUACAUACUUGAGAUGUUUAUUAUUUUACAAUAUGUCUUUGACUUACUUGGAGUACCUGUACAUUUGUUAUUUCUUUUCCAUUGAAUAGUCCUAGUACAUUUUUGACUUUGACUUGUAAAAUUCUGACACUACUGAGAGCCCUGUUCUUACUUAUACCAUAAUAAAUGACAGAGGCAUCUGUUCAGAAAGGUGAUAUCUUUCCCGUGGCUUUCAUUCCAUCGGGUGCAGGGGAGAGACAUGCAUUUUUUUACAAAAAAACAUCUAGUUAUACCAUUGUUUUAACUGCUUCGGUUAUUCUUUUACUAUCCUGUUAAUUUUUCAGAUGAAUUCAUCAAAGAAAGACUGUUGUGAUGUUGUGAAAAUUGGGAAAAAGACUUAUUUCAGAUGUACUCUUUGUGGAGCUCACCGUUCUACUAAAAACAGGGUUUUUUCACAUCUGGUGGAUUGUCAUUCCUUAAGUCCAGCUAAGCCAGUUUACAAACUAUACAAUAGAGAUCCGAGUGUGCCUGUUCAAAAAGAACCUAACUUCCAGACAAGUACUUGUGCCUGAUCAGGUUCCAAAAGCAGAAAUCACAGAUGAAAAUCUGGCCCUACUGUCUUCAGAAUAGGAAACAGAAGAAUCGUCUCAGAAUAAAGAAACAUUUCAUAUUGAAAAUUUUAUUAGUAAUAUUACAGCACAUGAAACUUUUCGUGAAAAUCGUAUCCUUAUCGAUAACAAUGAAAAUGGAAAUUUGUUGACUGAUGAAACAGAAUCAAUGCAGUCUUUAAUGGAAAUUGGUGAUGUGCUGGAUAAUACAGAUUCUGUAAGUUCUGAUACAGAUUCUGUAAGUUCUGAUGCCAGUAGUGUAAACAAUGAACAGUGUGAGUCUGCUCAGUGCAUUAAUAAGGAAAAAGAUUAUUCAUUAGCGUUCCUUUCAUUUGCCAUGAAAUACAAUUUGGCUGGAAACUGCAUUGAUGACUUGAUACUUUUACAUAAGUCAACAAAUCCACAAUCAAAAUCGUGGCUUCCAAAUAAUUAUAAACAACUAUUAGAAAAAACUGUGCUUUCUGGACAUCAGGAUUAUUAUAGUCAACACCACUAUUGUAUGAAAUGCUUCAAACUUUUCCAGCUGACGAUCCAAAUGAAUAUACACAUGGGUGUGACGGACUUCGAUAUAUGGGGCCAGAGAAUGUCCAGUUAGAUAAGACAAGAAAACAUUAUUUGUAAAUAAGUAUUAGGGCGGUAUUUUUAUAAUAGAAGGUCAAUUCAUUUAGAAGUACUUGUUCAAGGUAAUAAAAAAAUAUAGAUUGACAAAUACAUCAGUGUGUUAGUUUUCUGUCAGGGACAAAAUAUAAUACAUGUCUUAUAUUUUUAAAGCAGCUUUAAAGGAGAAUUGAAGGAAAAAUUAUAUAGAUGUAGUUCAAGCCAUUAUAUUAUCAAAUGAAAAAAACAUGUUAUGGUCUUCAUUUAUUUGGAUAUCCAUGAUAUGCUGUCAUUUUAACUAUGAUUAUUACCAUGGUCAAAACAUUUCUUUUGCUUUGACUAUGAUGAUCCAUGAUAUGGACAUGUUCAUAACAUGGUCAUACCACAACCAUUUCAUAGUCCCCAAUUUCUGUAAUUGCAUAUCAAGGUCAUAUCAUUGGCAACCAUGGUGUAACCAUGGUCGGCAUUGAUAUGGAUGUGGUCAUUUCCGCAGGGUAGCUGCGACACAUAUGUGGUAGACAUUUGUGCCAAGUUAUUUUAUAAUCCUUUCAUGCAUGAAAACGUUACAGUCCAGACAUGAAUGUGUAUCUUCCUCUCUUCUUGAGAGAAUGAGUACCUUCAAACUGUGUGACCUUGACGGUAGGGGCAUGGGUCUUUGUAGCGACAUUCGUCUUGAUGUGGUAGACAUUUAUGCCUAGUUAUUUUAAAAUCUUUCGAUGCAUUGUAUGAUGAUAUAGUUACAGCCAGGCCAUGAAUGUGUGUACCUUUUAAUUCUAAUUAAGAAACUCAAAAAUGUUAGUGUGACCUUGAUCUUUGAGGUAGAGACGUAAUUCUUGGCUGCGACACAGUCUUGAUGUGGUAGACAUUUAUGCGUAGUAUUUUAAAUCAUUCGAUGCAUGACAAAGUUACAGUCCGGACACGAAUGUGUGUACCUAUUUACUCUAAUUGCGAUAAUGAGAAACUUCAAAAUGAUAGUGUGACCUUGACCUUUGAGGUAGGGAUGUGUUUCUUG